AAUCCUGGUGGCGAGUGGCGAACGGGUUGAAGUAAUAGUAUCGGAACGUGCCCGGUCGUGGGGGAUAACGUAGCGAAAGCUACGCUAAUACCGCAUACGAUCUAUGGAUGAAAGCGGGGGAUCGCAAGACCUCGCGCGAUUGGAGCGGCCGAUAUCAGAUUAGGUAGUUGGUGAGUAAAGGCUCACCAAGCCGACGAUCUGUAGCUGGUCUGAGAGGACGACCAGCCACACUGGGACUGAGACACGGCCCAGACUCCUACGGGAGGCAGCAGUGGGGAAUUUUGGACAAUGGGCGCAAGCCUGAUCCAGCAAUGCCGCGUGCAGGAUGAAGGCCUUCGGGUUGUAAACUGCUUUUGUACGGAACGAAACGGUGAGCUCUAAUACAGUUUGCUAAUGACGGUACCGUAAGAAUAAGCACCGGCUAACUACGUG
rnacentral:rRNA from 1 species